rnacentral:rRNA from 1 species
GACGAACGCUGGCGGCGUGCUUAACACAUGCAAGUCGAACGAUGAAGAAGAGCUUGCUCUUCGGAUUAGUGGCGAACGGGUGAGUAACACGUGACUAACCUGCCCCUUUCUCUGGGAUAACGCUCCGAAAGGAGUGCUAAUACCGGAUACUCACAUCGAGGCACAUGCCUUGAUGUGGAAAGUUUUUCGGAAAGGGAUGGAGUCGCGGCCUAUCAGCGUGUUGGUGAGGUAACGGCUCACCAAGGCGACGACGGGUAGCCGGCCUGAGAGGGCGACCGGCCACACUGGGACUGAGACACGGCCCAGACUCCUACGGGAGGCAGCAGUGGGGAAUAUUGCACAAUGGGCGAAAGCCUGAUGCAGCGACGCCGCGUGAGGGAUGAAGGUCUUCGGAUUGUAAACCUCUUUCAGUAGGGACGAAGCGAAAGUGACGGUACCUAAAGAAGAAGCACCGGCUAACUACGUGCCAGCAGCCGCAGUAA